rnacentral:lncRNA from 1 species
CCCAUCCCUCUCCCCUUCUCCCGGGCUCCGGGCUCCAAGAGCAGAGAGGCGGGCCGCGGACGUCCCCACCCCCACCGCCGCCCCAGACCGCGCCCUCGUGCGCCCGCUCGCAGCGGUCUGGAGCCUUCCUGUAAGUCAGGCCUGAGUCAGGACCGGAAGGGUGACCUCGGUUCCCGACAGUGCGGGCAGGAUGACACCGUAACAGCCACUCGCCGGUGGGAGGGAAGAGGAGCAGAGCGCGGGGUGGCGCGUGGGGUGGGGAGAAGGGCAGCCUCCCGUAGGCGUCCCCGGCUCGGCCCCAGGAGCUGGAAAAGACCAGGCCUUGUCCUUGUCCUCCAGGCGGGGGGGAGGGCCCAUAGACCUCAACACCUCGUCCUCGUGUGUGGGGCCUGUCCCACCAGCUCCCCUUCACUCCGGCUCCCCCGGCUCCACCCUAAUCCUUUUCUUAUUCCAAUUAUAGAUGUGCUAUUUAAAAGGGUUCUGUGGACGGAUCAACCUGGAAAAUUCAGCAGUUUUCUGAGAAGUCCCAGAACUAAAGGAUCAUGGACUGUAACCUGAAGAAUUUAUUUAUGGAAAGAGACAUCAAAUAAGACUCUUUGCAGCCCUGUUGAAAAGGACAAUACCAGGAGGAGAAGAAGACG